UCAGUAGCUCAGAGGUAGAGCACCGCUUUGAGGAAGCGGGGGUCGAGGGUUCAAGUCCCUCCUGA
rnacentral:tRNA from 1 species